UUCCGGUUGAUCCUGCCGGACCCCACUGCUAUCGGGAUAGGACUAAGACAUGCAAGUCAAGCGCUUUCUAGCUAAUGUGAGAGCGCGGCGUACAGCUCAGUAACACGUGGCCAACCUGCCCUUGGGACGGGAACACCCCCGGGAAACUGGGGUUAAUUCCCGAUAGGUGAAGAAGUCUGGAAUGACUCUUCGCUCAAAAGACGUUUAUGUCAUGCUCAUAUUCGUCGCCCAGGGAUGGGGCCGCGACCGAUCAGGUUGUUGGUGAGGCAAUGGCUCACCAAGCCUUUUACCGGUGCGGGCCGUGAGAGCGGGAGCCCGGAGAUGGGCACUGAGACAAAGGCCCAGGCCCCACGGGGCGCAGCAGUCGCGUAAAUUUUGCAAUACACGAAAGUGUGACAGAGCUAUCCCGAGUGCCAUCCGCUGAGGAAGGCUUUUACCCAGUAUAAAUAGCUGGGAGAAUAAGGAGAGGGCAAGUCUGGUGUCAGCCGCCGCGGUAAUACCAGCUCUCCGAGUAGU
rnacentral:rRNA from 1 species